AGCCGUCAAAAUUUAGAAGAUUGUGUUAGUGGAUAACUGCAGAACCGAGAAACUCGUGGAAACACGCAUUUCCUGAGACUUCCAGCUUUCUAGUAUGGAAUCUGUACAGGAAAGAACCUGAACAGAUGCUGGAUUUAUAUUGUGGAUUUAGAAUCUGUUUUCAGCACCUCACUGACUGUCACUGAAAACUUUUACACUUGAUCUUAGCCAAAAGGCUGAGAAGCCAUCCAUUGAAAAUUAAAAAUAAAAUCAUAGCACUGCUUUCAAUUCCAAAACAAGACUGUUUCUACUCACCUCUCAGAACCAUCAUUUAUUAUAAACCCAACUUGAGAAAUGGAGGCUUCAUUGAUCUGCUAAGUUUAAAAUCAUGCCACAGGUGAUUCUUCCUCCGAGCAACUGAGUCACUCAAGACCAAACAAUUAAAAUGAAAUCUGAC